GGCAGUUCUCAGGUGACGCACCCCGGAAUCAGGCUCCCUCUCUGGUUCUGAGUGCGUCACCUGAGAACCACA
rfam:Myotis davidii contig19630, whole genome shotgun sequence.